rnacentral:lncRNA from 1 species
CGAAAGUUGUCCUCCACCCAAGCUUACAAAUUAUAAUUUUGUCCCUCAACUUUUAUAUCUUCUUUAAUUUUAUCCCAAAAUUUAUAAUCCUUUCAAUUAAAACCCAAAACAUAAAAUCGGGUUAUUACAAUCUCUCCCUCUUAAAGGAAUUUCGUCCUCGAAAUUUAAAAAGUCCUAUUUUGUGAUUAUCAAAACUCACACUUCCACUGCGCACUUUGAUACC